AGUGAACGCUGGCGGCAGGCCUAAUACAUGCAAGUCGAACGGCAGCACAGUGGAGCUUGCUCCAUGGGUGGCGAGUGGCGGACGGGUGAGGAAUACAUGGGAAUCUGCCCAGUCGUGGGGGAUAACGUAGGGAAACUUACGCUAAUACCGCAUGCGCCCUUCGGGGGAAAGCCGGGGACCUUCGGGCCUGGCGCGAUUGGAUGAGCCCAUGUCGGAUUAGCUAGUUGGCGGGGUAAAGGCCCACCAAGGCGACGAUCCGUAGCUGGUCUGGGAGGAUGAUCAGCCACACUGGGACUGAGACACGGUCCAGACUCCUACGGGAGGCAGCAGUAGGGAAUAUUGGACAAUGGGCGCAAGCCUGAUCCAGCCAUGCCGCGUGAGUGAAGAAGGCCCUCGGGUUGUAAAGCUCUUUUGCCCGGAAAGAAAAGCGUUGGGUUAAUACCCCGGCGUCCUGACGGUACCGGAAGAAUAAGCACCGGCUAACUUCGUGCCAGCAGCCGCCGUAA
rnacentral:rRNA from 1 species